CCUCCAGGUGUUGCUUGGCCUGGUCAACGCCUCGGCUUCGACCAUCUCCGGUUUCUUCUCCACUCCGCCUGAUUUUUUCGUCGCGAUACCCAACGUUAUCGGAGUUCCGGUCCUACUGGCACAGUUUGUGGUCUACGUGAUGCACUGCAACCCUCAGCCAGAGCUCAACCCACAGCCGGAGCCCAACCCUCCUCCGCCGGAGCAGGAGCGCGGCCCUAUCCACACCGUCGACGUGCCCGUCCACACCGCCGAUGUGCCAAACUACGCGGCGGAUCUCCACACACUCUUCACAUGCCAGGUGUAGGCAUAGAGCACCAUCCUACUUCCUUCAUGAAAAACUUUCUUGAUGCUAUGCGGCUGACUAUUUAUGAGCUCAUGCUGUUAUGAGAUUAUCAUUGCACUGCCAGUUUUGUAAUAAUACUACUAUUUGUUUCACCGAAUACUAUAUAUGAUUAGUCUCAAGCUAUUUCUA